GAUGAACGCGGGCGGCGGGCCUAAUACAUGCAAGUCGAGCGAACAGAUGACGGGCUUGCUCCUCUGACGUUAGCGGCGGACGGGUGAGUAACACGUGGAUAACCGGCCUAUAAUACUGUGAUAACUUCGGGAAGCCGGAGUUAAUACCGGCUCAUAUAUUGAACCGCAUGGUUCAUUAGUAAAAGACGGUUUUGCAGUCACUUAUAGAUGGAUCCUCGCCGCAUUAGCUAGUUGGUAAGGUAACGGCUUACCAAGGCAACGAUGCGUAGCCGACCUGAGAGGGUGAUCGGCCACACUGGAACUGAGAAACGGUCCAGAGGCCUACGGGAGGCAGCAGUAGGGAAUCUUCCGCAAUGGGCGCAAGCCUGACGGAGCAACGCCGCGUGAGUGAUGAAGGGCUUCGGAUCGUAAAACUCUGUGCUGAGGGAAGACCAAAUGUGUAAGCAACUAUGCAUGUCUUGACGGUACCUAAUCAGAAAGCCACGGCUAACUACGUG
rnacentral:rRNA from 1 species